CCCUCCGUCCCAAUAAUGUUGUCCCCUUUCUUUUGGGCACGGAGAUUAAGGAGUGUAAAAUUAGUGGUGUAAAAUAGAAGGUCCCACAUGUUUAAGGAAAAGCAAGUAUAGCUUAAGCCCCUCCCCAAACAUCUCUCUCUCGGCACUCUCUCCCUCAACAUACACUAUGCAGACGCCGCGCCGCCGGCGGCACCAUGUUUAACUCCGGCGACGGCAACAGUAAGCGGAACCACCUCUCUGAUUCCGCCGAGCAGCAGCGGGAGCAGCCACUGCCGGUCCCAGCCCCUGUUCUCCCUUUGUCUCUACCAUUUCUCAACUACUCCGCCCCUCUCCGUGUCUCCGGCGACCGCUACGAAGCCACAGAGAUAUAAGGAAGUAUAAACAGAAAAUUGAAACACAAAAGAAUGAACUUCAAGGAUAUGUUAUAAGCAACAGAGAUAUAAGGAAGAAAAACACAGAAGAAUGAACUUCAAGAAUGAAAACACAAAGAAUUGAAAACACAGAAGAAAAUUUACAAGGUUUCAUCGAAUUGCACAUAAACUUCGUCGAAUUGAAAACACAGAAGAAAACUUCAAGGUUGAAAAACAAAUUAAAGGAUUUCAAGGUUAGGCAUCAUUUCCCAAAGCAUUUCUUAUCAAUUGCACAUAAACUUCGUCCAUUUGCAGAACAGAGGGAGAAGGGGGAAGGCGGCGGAUACCUAAUUUUUUGGCGAGCCCUAAUUCGGCCUCGGCGCUGCUGAGGGCCGGCGAGAUUAUCUUCAUGUCUCCCAAUUCGAGUGAAGAAGAUGCAAGGCUCCAAACUCACUCACAAUUUCGUGCCCUAGCUCCACCUCCGGUGAAUCGCCGCCGCUGCGGGCAGUGGAGGGUCGGCACCUCCUUCUCUCUCUUCUCUUCUCCUUCCUCCGCUGAGAGCCCCAGUCACGGUCUAUAACCUUUUUUUCUCUCCACUUUGAAUGCUAAACGCUGCCAUACUGAAUCUCUGUAAUCCGGCGCAUGGAGUUACAGGGGCAGACGAACGGCGGCGAAGCACGGCAGCGGCGGCAAAAUAGAGGCGGCGGCCGUCCAAUUUCGGCAGAGAGAGAGAGAAUUAAUUGUUUGGGGGGGAGGGGGAGGGGCCACCGAUAGUUAAG
rnacentral:lncRNA from 1 species